AACGGCCGUACCAUGCUGAAUAUACCGGUUCUCGAUAGAUCACCGAAGUUAAGCAUCAUUGGGCGCGGUCAGUACUUGGGUGGGUGACCACCUGGGAACACUGCGUGCCGUU
rnacentral:rRNA from 1 species